AGGGAAUCUUGCGCAAUGGGCGAAAGCCUGACGCAGCAACGCCGCGUGGGGGAUGAAGGCUUUCGGGUUGUAAACCCCUUUCAGCAGGGACGAAAUUGACGGUACCUGCAGAAGAAGCUCCGGCCAACUACGUGCCAGCAGCCGCGGUAACACGUAGGGAGCAAGCGUUGUCCGGAUUUAUUGGGCGUAAAGAGCUCGUAGGCUGUUCAGUAAGUCGGGUGUGAAAACUUAGGGCUCAACCCUGAGACGCCACCCGAUACUGCUGUGACUAGAGUCCGGUAGGGGAGCGUGGAAUUCCUGGUGUAGCGGUGAAAUGCGCAGAUAUCAGGAGGAACACCAGCGGCGAAGGCGGCGCUCUGGGCCGGAACUGACGCUGAGGAGCGAAAGCGUGGGUAGCAAAC
rnacentral:rRNA from 1 species